UCGGUACGAUAUAAUGUGAGG
rnacentral:piRNA from 1 species